CCUGUAUGGCUGCACUAAUUGUGGCUCAUAAUAUUGCAGUAAAUAUAUGUAGCGCUGGCUAGUAAAUAUGCAACAAUUGACACUUUAUGUCAUCAUUUAUACAAAACCUGGACAGAUUUACUGGGGGGGUAGGGGCGGGGGGGGGAGUUAAACCCCCUUAGAAUCUCUCUAACCCCACUUAUAAAGUGUUUAACCCCACCAAAAUUUUGCUUCACCCCUCUUAUUUUGUGUGAAAGUCUUUAACCCUUACGCCUGACCCCUGCCAAAGCUCGCUCAGUGGUGCCAUUUGCACCCAACUAGAAAUUUCUCUACCCCUCCUUUUAAAAAAAUGAAAAUCCGCCAUUGAUACAAAACUAUUUCAAGUCGGGCCGGCAGUGUUAAUAUAGAAUGUUAACUAAGUGGCGGGUGUUUCGGGCAGGUUCUUCCUCAAUCCCCUCCCCUAGAAGAUCCUACCACGCUGGCUAUGAAAGAUUUGCAAUGUUUCCUCCCUUUCUUUGUUUCUUAUUCAUUGCCCUAUCGGCCAUAGACUUGCUCCAAGUCUCUCUUUCAUUGUCAUAUUGAUCCACUAUAGUGUACAUUACAUGACAUAGCACGGAGAGGCGGAGCGAGAAAGAGAGACUUGUCAACUUCGGAAAAUCUCAGUUCAAAACUGAACUGAAAAUGCAAGACUUGCUUUAAUUGUUUUCCUUCAAUUUCUUUCUGUAUUAUUUACUAUAAUGGAACUCAUGUUAUUUACACUGUGCUAGAUCAAUACAUAUAAACACUGACAGAAAACAAUUAAAGCAAGUCUUGCAUUUUCGGUUCAGUUUGGAAACCGAGAUUUUCCGACGUUGACAAGUCUCUUUUUCUCGCUCUGCCCCACCGUACUACGUCAUGUAAUGUACACUGUAGUGGAUCGAUAUAUGACAAUGAAAGAGAGACUUGGAGCAAGUCUAUAUCGGCCAGUGUUCGUUGGCUUUUCGGAAAAUAUGAGUCUAAUACAAGGCAGCGGAGUACGGUAUAUUAAUAUUGAAAUUCGUAUUUUGUUAAAAUGUAUUUUUAAUGCACA